GAUGAACGCUGGCGGCGUGCCUAACACAUGCAAGUCGAACGAACGGACGAGAAGUUUGCGCCUUUGAUGUUAGCGGCGGACGGGUGAGUAACAUGUGGAUAACCUACCUAUAAGACUGGGAUAAUAACGGGAAAACGGAGCUAAUACUGGAUAAUAUUUUGAACCGCAUGGUGCAAAAGUGAAAGACGGUCUUGCUGUCACUAAUAGAUGGAUCCGCGCUGGAUUAGCUAGUUGGUAAGGUAACGGCUUACCAAGGCAACGAUGCAUAGCCGACCUGAGAGGGGGAUCGGCCACACUGGAACUGAGACACGGUCCAGACUCCUACGGGAGGCAGCAGUAGGGAAUCUUCCGCAAUGGGCGAAAGCCUGACGGAGCGCCACCGCGUGAGUGAUGAAGGUCUUCGGAUCGUAAAACUCUGUUAUUAGUGAAGACCAUAUGUGUAAGUAACUGUGCACAUCUUGACGGUACCUAAUCAAGAAGCCCCGGCUAACUACGUG
rnacentral:rRNA from 1 species